UACGGAGGAUGCGAGCGUUAUCCGGAUUUAUUGGGUUUAAAGGGUGCGCAGGCGGCACGGCAAGCCGGCGGUCAAAUCGCGGGGCUCAACCCCGCCCAGCCGUCGGAACUGCCGGGCUAGAGUGGGCGAGAAGUGCGCGGAAUGCGUGGUGUAGCGGUAAAACGCAUAGAUAUCACGCAGAACUCCGAUUGCGAAGGCAGCGCACCGGCGCCCUACUGACGCUCAGGCACGAAAGCGUGGGUAUCGAACAGG
rnacentral:rRNA from 1 species